rnacentral:rRNA from 1 species
GACGAACGCUGGCGGCGUGCUUAACACAUGCAAGUCGAACGGAAAGGCCCUGCUUUUGUGGGGUGCUCGAGUGGCGAACGGGUGAGUAACACGUGAGUAACCUGCCCUUGACUUUGGGAUAACUUCAGGAAACUGGGGCUAAUACCGUAUAGGAGCUCCUGCUGCAUGGUGGGCGUUGGAAAUUUUCGGCGGUUGGGGAUGGACUCGCGGCUGAUCAGCUUGUUGGUGGGGUAGUGGCUUACCAAGGCUUUGACGGGUAGCCGGCCUGAGAGGGUGACCGGCCACAUUGGGACUGAGAUACGGCGCAGAGUCCUACGGGAGGCAGCAGUGGGGAAUAUUGCCCAAUGGGAGGAAGCCUGAUGCAGCAACGCCGCGUGCGGGAUGACGGCCUUCGGGUUGUAAACCGCUUUAGCCUGUGACGAAGCGUGAGUGACGGUAAUGGGUAAAGAAGCACCGGCUAACUACGUG